UGGGGAAUAUUGCACAAGGGGCGCAAGCCUGAUGCAGCCAUGCCGCGAGUGUGAAGAAGGCCGUCGGGUUGUAAAGCACUUUCAGCGGGGAGGAAGGCGAUAAGGUUAAUAACCUUGUCGAUUGACGUUACCCGCAGAAGAAGCACCGGCUAACUCCGUGCCAGCAGCCGCGGUAAUACGGAGGGUGCAAGCGUUAAUCGGAAUUACUGGGCGUAAAGCGCACGCAGGCGGUCUGUCAAGUCGGAUGUGAAAUCCCCGGGCUCAACCUGGGAACUGCAUUUGAAACCUGCAGGCUAGAGUCUUGUAGAGGGGGGUAGAAUUCCAGGUUUUGCGGUUAAUUGCGUAUAGAUCUGGAGGAAUACCGGUGGCGAAGGCGGCCCCCUUGACAAAGACUGACGCUCAGGUGCGAAAGCGUGGGGAGCAAACAGG
rnacentral:rRNA from 1 species